UACGUAGGGGGCAAGCGUUGUCCGGAAUCAUUGGGCGUAAAGAGCGCGUAGGCGGCCCUGUAAGUCCGCUGUGAAAGUCAAGGGCUCAACCCUUGAAUGCCGGUGGAUACUGCAGGGCUAGAGUCCGGAAGAGGCGAGUGGAAUUCCUGGUGUAGCGGUGAAAUGCGCAGAUAUCAGGAGGAACACCGGUGGCGAAGGCGGCUCUCUGGGACGGUACUGACGCUGAGACGCGAAAGCGUGGGGAGCGAACAGG
rnacentral:rRNA from 1 species